rnacentral:tRNA from 1 species
CGAUUUAGCUUAAUUUGGUAGAGCAACGCAUUCGUAAUGCGUAGGUUGUAGGUUCAAGUCCUAUAAUCGGC